rnacentral:rRNA from 1 species
AGUGAACGCUGGCGGUAGGCCUAACACAUGCAAGUCGAACGGCAGCACAGUAAGAGCUUGCUCUUACGGGUGGCGAGUGGCGGACGGGUGAGGAAUACAUCGGAAUCUACUUUUCGUGGGGGAUAACGUAGGGGAACUUACGCUAAUACCGCAUACGACCUACGGGUGAAAGGCGGGGAUCUUUGGACCUUGCGCGAUUGAAUGAGCCGAUGUCGGAUUAGCUAGUUGGCGGGGUAAAGGCCCACCAAGGCGACGAUCCGUAGCUGGUCUGAGAGGAUGAUCAGCCACACUGGAACUGAGACACGGUCCAGACUCCUACGGGAGGCAGCAGUGGGGAAUAUUGGACAAUGGGCGCAAGCCUGAUCCAGCCAUACCGCGUGGGUGAAGAAGGCCUUCGGGUUGUAAAGCCCUUUUGUUGGGAAAGAAAAGCAGCAGGUUAAUACCCCGCUGUUCUGACGGUACCCAAAGAAUAAGCACCGGCUAACUUCGUG